UUAUGACUAAUCGAAUACAGAUGUGAUGCC
rnacentral:piRNA from 1 species